UAGAAAUAUUAUUCUAACUUUAAUAUGCUUAAUCCUCUUAAUUUUUUUAGGUCCAGCUAUCGUCAUAUUUGCUAUAGCCAGAUUAAGAGAUUUAGUUUUAUUAUAUCUUUUAUAUAAUACUACUCCAAAUACUAAGGUUGUCCACAUUCCUCUCUUUUUUAAGCCAUGACUUUCUCGUCAGGCUCAAGCACAGUCAUAAAUACCAAGAGAUGUGAGAUACUCAUCUCACACUUCUGGCUGAAAAGUAAAUUGAUAUAUACUAUGAUCCCGUACUUUCCAGAGAGGUUAUCUAUCUUAGGACUAUUUUAGUUCUAGCAUAUUGAACCCUCUUAACCUCUUGAGACUAUCCAUUGUCCAAUAUGUUAUAGUCAGAUUAAGAAGUUUAGCUUUAUUAUAUCUUAUAUAGAGUGAGGCUACUAUGCUAUCGGAAGCACGGAGCCUUCCGUGCUUCCAGCUCGUUUUCGAUGUUGCAACUUUCGAAUCGUUGAUCGGCUCCGUUAAACUUGAUCUAGAGUAUUUGAAAUACCUAGAAAAUAAAUUUUAUGAUUUUAUGAUAUCAUUUGCCUAGUGAAUGAAGUGGCUCAAAAUCAACGGCUGAAAAUAAAAAUCUUACAAAAUGUAAUAAUAUGACAUUAAAAUUUUAAAUCAAAGAUAUUGAUCUUGUUUUAUAUAGUA
rnacentral:lncRNA from 1 species